rnacentral:rRNA from 1 species
CCUACGGGUGGCAGCAGUGAGGAAUAUUGGUCAAUGGGCGAGAGCCUGAACCAGCCAAGUCGCGUGAAGGAUGACGGCCCUACGGGUUGUAAACUUCUUUUGUCAGGGAGCAAGUGGGUCCACGCGUGGGCUUAGCGAGAGAACCUGAAGAAAAAGCAGCGGCUAACUCCGUGCCAGCAGCCGCGGUAAUACGGAGGAUCCGAGCGUUAUCCGGAUUUAUUGGGUUUAAAGGGAGCGUAGAUGGGUUGUUAAGUCAGUUGUGAACGUUUGCGGCUCAACCGUAAAAUGGCAAUUGAUACUGGCAGUCUUGAGUACAGUUGAGGUAGGCGGAAUUCGUGGUGUAGCGGUGAAAUGCUUCGCUAUCACGCAGAACCCCGAUUGCGCAGGCAGCUUACUAAACUGUGCCUGACAUUGCUGCUCG